GUGAGAGGACAAGGCAUGGUCUCAUCUGGUGGUUCAAAUCCAUCCCUUGCCUUGCUGUUCAGAGAACCCCCAUUGGGUAUUCUACCAUAGAAACAAACUCCUGAGAGAGAUCCCGUGUUGGUGAUGCGGGUCCAUCACCCAAGUUUCCUGGGAGCCUGGGGCUAAAGGAUCACAAGGCCAAGGCCAUCUUGGCUGACUUCAUGAGACGCUGUCUUCAAAUAAAAAGCAAAUGAAGACAGGCGGUGCAGCCUCCUGGCAUAACGCAUACCCAGCAUACAUGAGGCCUUGGGUCCAGUUCCCGGUACUGGGAGCAGAUGGUGAGGAGAGUAAUAUCGAAGACAUUUAAUGCAAUUUUUGGAAGGCUUCCUGAUAUGGAGGCGCUGUGCAAUGAACUUGAGAGUCCAUUCUGCAAUUUUAUCAUCAUCCCAGAUAGAAACCAACCUGGAGGGGAUCAGUGCGGUGGACAUCUUGAGAGACUGCCUCUCACAGAGAAGAUUCUUCAUUGACUGAGCCCUUGCAGACAUGUAAGUGGCUGACUUUUGUAACCAGGUUGGGAAAGAAAUACAAUAGUUUUUUCUUUUAACCAUAUGC
rnacentral:lncRNA from 1 species